rnacentral:lncRNA from 1 species
UACAUCAAAAAUUGUGAGUUUAUUUUAUGUACAAAUAUUUUAGCACACAAAGUAUUGGGUAUUUGUCAUUAAAUUGAAUUAAACGGAAUGCACAUUUUAACUCACUAUCCAUUAUGAAAUAAUCCAUGUGCAUUAUAAUGGGUUAAACAGUCAGAGAUAAGUAAGGACUGCAUCUUACUGCACCUCUGACCUGGUGAUGCGAGGAACCGUGG